rnacentral:rRNA from 1 species
UACAGGGGGGGCGAGCGUUGUUCGGAAUUACUGGGCGUAAAGGGUUUGUAGGUGGCUUGUUAAGUCAGACGUGAAAUCCCUCAGCUUAACUGGGGAACUGUGUCUGAUACUGGAUGGCUAGAGUGUGGGAGAGGGAUGCGGAAUUCCAGGUGUAGCGGUGAAAUGCGUAGAUAUCUGGAGGAACACCGGUGGCGAAGGCGGCAUCCUGGACCACGACUGACGCUGAGUGAGCGAAAGCCAGGGGAGCAAACGGG